GGUGAGGGGCCUGGGCCUUUAAGCAAGUGCCCCUCCCCCCAGUAAGUUUUAGAUACUUGCACGCCUCGUUUUUUCCGGGGCCGUGACCCGUUUGACGGUGUUUUGUGCGCCCGUCUACGUGCGGAGUGGGGGGGCGGGGGGGAGGUGUGCACGCGUGGGUGUGCGAUUCCCGGGGUACACGCCCCGGCCGACAGGUUUAGGCGAGGAGGAAGAACUACUUCCGCAUCCUCACCUAGCUUUUGCUGCCAGGUGCCCCGCGCGUGGGCGAGCUGUGCGACUGGGUGGGCUGGCUACUUUUUGUUCCACGAAUUUUCCGACUUCUCCCGGAAAAUGAUGGAACCUACCUAGGCUGAUACUCAGGGGAAGUGGCUGCAGAGACUGUAACCCAGGUGGGGUUGUGGGAGCCUCUUACACUUUUACCCCCAACCCCGCCAUGGUUCUCGGCCCCAAUUGGAGAUGGGCUGCAGUUUCUGGAAGGGGCGGUGGGGGGGGGGGGGGCGUUGGAAACGAAUGUAAGCUGCAGGGAAGGGGUGGGGGAGGUUGGUGAAAAUCUUUGGCAUUUCUGGCUUUGGAAAGCGCCCCGCCUGCUUUAUCCCUGUGAGUCUUGGGAGGAGACCUCAAAGCGCCAGUUUUCAGCUUUUCCCUUUAGUGGGUUGUCAUGAACUUGGAUUAAAGCUGGAUACCAGCGAGGUGGGGGAGAAACUUGGAGUGGAAAGCGCCGAAGCUUUAACACCGUGAAGUGCAUGGAGAUACAGUGCCAAAUAAAGUGCCUCAACGGGCUAUACCUGCAAUGUAUCAAAGUCUCAUCAGGGACCACACUUCCAGGGGAAAACACUCAAUUUUGUUAGAAAUGAGUAUAUUGUACAUUAUAGGUGAGUAUAUUACAUGUUAAUUGCUAGAAAUAGUUGGGAGUCUGAGGUAAAGUUAGAGUGUAAUUUUCUGGGCUUGUACUUAAGACAGAACUAUUCUAGGAAAACCGAUUGGGAGGACACACAAGUCAAAGUAGCUUAGUGGGUGUGAGGGUUGGACGUAGCUCAAAAUAGAAUUCCUUCCUAAGGUUGGGGGGUGGGGUGGGGCUUUACCUGGCCAUUAAUGGGUUUCUAGUUCUUAAUCGUGUCCAGGUUUAUGAAUCUGAAAUUGAGACUUUCUGUGGCCCACCUAGUGGCUUCCAGAUAGAAUCUCUAAGCAGUUCUGUCAGCUAAACAUACUUCUGCCUUACUAUGAGAAGCUGUUGCAUUGUUUCCUAACCAUUAUCCCCCUACUUGCUAGGCUGGAGUCUCAGUAUGCAUAUGAAUCACAAAUUACGUAGAGAAAUCGUGCCUGCUACUCAGAUUCAUUUUCUUAGGGAGAUGAUUUGUUCAUCUUGGUGUAUUAAAAUAGCCAAUGUUCUCCCUUUUAACUUGCUAGGCUAGUCUAACGUGACGAAUGCUGGAUCCAGGCACGCACUCUAAUGUAUUAUGCAUGAUGGAAAUAAUUAUCCAUUAUGUCAACAGCAUUUAUAAGUGGGAUGGAAAUAUUAAAGCCCUUUAUUGACUAUACCUGUUGCUUUAGUGGCCUAGUUGGAAGAUCCUGUUGUGAAUGAAAUCUUUAAGUGCAUAAGCUAACCUGGAAGUACAGUUUCAGUUAAGAACUUAAUGUCUCUGUCUACUCCUAAGAAAACACUUCCAAGUUCCUAUUGUCUUGCUCUUUGCCUAUCUGAUUUCUCCAACUGGAGGCUCUUAUGUUGUGUGAAUUUUUUGUUGGAGUUUUUAGCCCUUGGCAAAGGGCACUUUGUAUUAACAAGGGCACACCUGUUUUCAGAUGACUGCAUACCUCACCUUUGAGAAAUUGGCUUCCUUUGUAGUGAAGCUUUUCUGGGUGGGAAAAGAAAAUUAAAGUCCAUGGCAGACACUUUAAGGGUGAUGUCAAGGUGAGUCAGCCUUAACUACUCUUCCAGAAAGUUGGAGCUGACCAUGGGUGAUCCUGUCACAAAUGGCACGUAUGUGACAAAUCUGUCUUGUGCGUUGGAAACCUGGGUGAAUUUGUCCCGGGAAGGCACCCAAACACAUGCAAGCAUGGGAGGUACAACUUGAUUGUGAUAAUUGCGGAAAAUAAUCUGACUUUGAAGUAAAAAAAAAAAAAAAAAACUCUCAGGCUGAAUAACUUCUUCCUAUAAAACCCUUUAUAGAAGGGUUAUUCUUGGUGGAAAAACUUAAAUAUUUCUCAGAUCAUUCUUUUCAGUAUGCUGCUUUUGAUUUUUAGAGUGGGAAAUCGCCAGACUGAAACCAACAUCCUCCAAUGACUUUUUCUUGAUUUUCCCCCGCCCCUCCCAUGAGUAGUUUCAGAGAAGUGGUUGGAGUGCUAUCUUAUUAGUGGAGCCACCUUGUGUGUGUUAAUGGUGGCUUUGUCCUAUCCUUUGCCUUGAGUAGUGCAGGUUUCUCCCAAGUGUCUGGAAGAUCUCAGGAGCCUCCCGUUUCCUCUGUACCCACUGGUGGAGGCGCUAAUGUUGAAACUCCUUAGGCUCCCAGGUGACAUUUCAAUAACAGCAGUGAUGGUAGAGACAUUAAGUGCUGAUAGUGUUCUUCUGUCGACCCUUGACUCUUCUGGACACUACCUGGUGCUUGUUCACUCCUGAUGGCACCUGUUUCCGUCAAAGGUUCCUGCCACCUGAGAAUCCAUCCCCUCCCCACCCCCACAACCUAGGCGCAGCCCUUCAAUCAAGGGAGUGUAACAGUUGUAGUUUCCAAUGCCCCCCAACCUCGGGAAAGGGACUGCCCUAAGGUGCGGCCCGUGCUCUUUCUAGAGCUGUGGAGGUUGAGCCAAAGUUCCUCUGCAUGAACUUUGCUGAAUAUCACACCCCUGCUUGCUGUCUUUUCCUUCUGUCUCCACUCCCCUCCCCUGGGAGCACUGCCUAAUGGAUCACCUGAAUCGGGAGUUUUCAUUUCCUUCCAUUUCAGGAUCUGAUUGGGGGAACCCUGCAGCUUGGCUGCGUGGAUGGUGAGGAACUUCAAGGCUCUGGCCUCCUCAGCGUCCCGUGAAGCUAAGCAUGGAGGCUGUUAGUAGCUCCUGCCUCCCUCCUCCCUUCUCAGCAUCGCCCUUUUGCUGCUAUUCAGUCCCACUCCCUUUCCCGUCUGCUCCCCUUCAUCAGAUGGGCCUUACAGGCAGAGGGCUCCUAGCUCUGCUGCGAGCAUCAGAAUUCCAGAGUUCGCAUGCAAAUUGUUACUGGGUUCACAUGGUAUGUUCUGUAUUGUGUGCAGUGAGCGAGCUUGCCCUGCCCUACCUCCCAUUGUCCAUGGUUCUGGUCCUGUGCCUUCUUCCCAGUUAGACUGAGCACCUGGAGGGCAGAGGCUGUAGCAAACGUGUUUUUAGAGCCUCCAGUGUUCAGCACUGUGCCUUCUACUUAAGAGAUUACUUGAGGGCUUGUCUCUUGGUUCCUUACCUGCCCCCCGGCCCCCAAGUCCUGCUGGAACUUCUCUGUAGCCCUGUGCUGACACCAA